rnacentral:tRNA from 1 species
GGAUCUUUGGCAGAGUUGGUCGAACGCACCGGUCUUGAAAACCGGCGAGGGUCAUACCUCCCAGGGUUCGAAUCCCUGAGGGUCCACCA